rnacentral:rRNA from 1 species
AUUGAACGCUGGCGGCAGGCCUAACACAUGCAAGUCGAACGAGUGGCGGACGGGUGAGUAAUGUCUGGGAAACUGCCCGAUGGAGGGGGAUAACUACUGGAAACGGUAGCUAAUACCGCAUACCAUCGGAUGUGCCCAGAUGGGAUUAGCUAGUAGGUGGGGUAAAGGCUAACCUAGGCGACGAUCCCUAGCUGGUCUGAGAGUAUGACCAGCCACACGGGAACUGAGACACGGUCCAGACUCCUACGGGAGGCAGCAGUGGGGAAUAUUGCACAAUUGGCGCAAGCCUGAUGCAGCCAUGCCGCGUGUAUGAAGAAGGCCUUCGGGUUGUAAAGCACUUUCAGCGGGGAGGCGUUACUCGCAGAAGAAGCACCGGCUAACUCCGUGCCAGCAGCCGCGGUAAUUC